GAUGAACGCUGGCGGCGCGCCUAAUACAUGCAAGUCGAGCGAAUGGAUUAAGAGCUUGCUCUUAUGAAGUUAGCGGCGGACGGGUGAGUAACACGUGGGUAACCUGCCCAUAAGACUGGGAUAACUCCGGGAAACCGGGGCUAAUACCGGAUAACAUUUUGAACCGCAUGGUUCGAAAUUGAAAGGCGGCUUCGGAUGUCACUUAUGGAUGGACCCGCGUCGCAUUAGCUAGUUGGUGAGGUAACGGCUCACCAAGGCAACGAUGCGUAGCCGACCUGAGAGGGUGAUCGGCCACACUGGGACUGAGACACGGCCCAGACUCCUACGGGAGGCAGCAGUAGGGAAUCUUCCGCAAUGGACGAAAGUCUGACGGAGCAACGCCGCGUGAGUGAUGAAGGCUUUCGGGUCGUAAAACUCUGUUGUUAGGGAAGAACAAGUGCUAGUUGAAUAAGCUGGCACCUUGACGGUACCUAACCAGAAAGCCACGGCUAACUACGUGCCAGCCGCCGCCGUAA
rnacentral:rRNA from 1 species